rnacentral:rRNA from 1 species
AGUGAACGCUGGCGGUAGGCCUAACACAUGCAAGUCGAACGGCAGCACAGUAAGAGCUUGCUCUUACGGGUGGCGAGUGGCGGACGGGUGAGGAAUACAUCGGAAUCUACUUUUUCGUGGGGGAUAACGUAGGGAAACUUACGCUAAUACCGCAUACGACCUACGGGUGAAAGCAGGGGAUCUUCGGACCUUGCGCGAUUGAAUGAGCCGAUGUCGGAUUAGCUAGUUGGCGGGGUAAAGGCCCACCAAGGCGACGAUCCGUAGCUGGUCUGAGAGGAUGAUCAGCCACACUGGAACUGAGACACGGUCCAGACUCCUACGGGAGGCAGCAGUGGGGAAUAUUGGACAAUGGGCGCAAGCCUGAUCCAGCCAUACCGCGUGGGUGAAGAAGGCCUUCGGGUUGUAAAGCCCUUUUGUUGGGAAAGAAAAGCAGCAGGUUAAUACCCCGCUGUUCUGACGGUACCCAAAGAAUAAGCACCGGCUAACCCCGUG